rnacentral:rRNA from 1 species
AACGAACGCUGGCGGCAUGCCUAACACAUGCAAGUCGAACGAGACCUUCGGGUCUAGUGGCGCACGGGUGCGUAACGCGUGGGAACCUGCCCUUAGGUUCGGAAUAACUCCCCGAAAGGGGUGCUAAUACCGGAUAAUGUCUUCGGACCAAAGAUUUAUAGCCUUUGGAUGGGCCCGCGUUGGAUUAGCUAGUUGGUAGGGUAAAAGCCUACCAAGGCGACGAUCCAUAGCUGGUCUGAGAGGAUGAUCAGCCACACUGGGACUGAGACACGGCCCAGACUCCUACGGGAGGCAGCAGUGGGGAAUAUUGGACAAUGGGCGAAAGCCUGAUCCAGCAAUGCCGCGUGAGUGAUGAAGGCCUUAGGGUUGUAAAGCUCUAUUACCCGGGAUGAUAAUGACAGUACCGGGAGAAUAAGCUCCGGCUAACUCCGUG